AACGAACGCUGGCGGCAUGCCUAACACAUGCAAGUCGAACGAAGGCUUCGGCCUUAGUGGCGCACGGGGGAGUAACGCGUGGGAAACUGCCUAGUGGUGGGGAAUAACGACGGGAAACUGUCGCUAAUACCGCAUAAGCCCUUCGGGGGAAAGAUUUAUCGCCGAUAGAUGUGCCCGCGUCCGAUUAGUUAGUUGGUGAGGUAAUGGCUCACCAAGGAGACGAUCGGUCGCUGGUCUGAGAGGAUGAUCAGCCACACUGGGACUGAGACACGGCCCAGACUCCUACGGGAGGCAGCGGUGGGGAAUAUUGGACAAUGGGAGAAAGCCUGAUCCAGCAAUGCCGCGUGAGUGAUGAAGGCCUUAGGGUUGUAAAGCUCUUUCGGGUGGGACGAUGAUGACGGUACCACCAGAAGAAGCCCCGGCUAACUUCGUGCCAGCCGCCGCAGUAA
rnacentral:rRNA from 1 species